ACGACCUUACUUGAACAGGAUCUGUUCUAUAGGAUCGUACUGUUGUAUCCUUGAUUGAUAAGGAGGCAAGCACUUAAACCUGGUUGAUGAUCCAUGACCUGUGGGUCAGAGCGUGAUUAACGGCCGCCACCGGCUCUGAUGCCUGUGUCCGGUGCUGUAGAUGAUCGUUCCUCCGCCAGUUCUACCUGGCUGGGGUGGCCCAUGGGUUAUCUGACGGGUU
rfam:Zea mays cultivar B73 chromosome 10, whole genome shotgun sequence.